GACGAACGCUGGCGGCGUGCCUAAUACAUGCAAGUAGAACGCUGAAGAGAGGAGCUUACUCUUCUUGGAUGAGUUGCGAACGGGUGAGUAACGCGUAGGUAACCUGCCUUGUAGCGGGGGAUAACUAUUGGAAACGAUAGCUAAUACCGCAUAACAAUGGAUGACACAUGUCAUUUAUUUGAAAGGGGCAAUUGCUCCACUACAAGAUGGACCUGCGUUGUAUUAGCUAGUAGGUGAGGUAAUGGCUCACCUAGGCGACGAUACAUAGCCGACCUGAGAGGGUGAUCGGCCACACUGGGACUGAGACACGGCCCAGACGCCUACGGGAGGCAGCAGUAGGGAAUCUUCGGCAAUGGGGGCAACCCUGACCGAGCAACGCCGCGUGAGUGAAGAAGGUUUUCGGAUCGUAAAGCUCUGUUGUAAGUCAAGAACAGGUGUGAGAGUGGAAAGUUCACACUGUGACGGUAGCUUACCAGAAAGGGACGGCUAACUACGUG
rnacentral:rRNA from 1 species